UAAUAAAUAAAACCUUAUAUUGCCACGUGUCAUUUUUUUAAAACCUAAUUUGACAUGUGUCAUCUUAUUAAUAAGUAUUCCCAGAUUUUUAUUUUCCCGCUUAAAUUUCUAGUCCACGAUUGUUUGGAUUCCUUUGUUUUAGAUUAGGAUCUAGUAAAUCUUUAAGAAAUUAGAAAAUUAAUAGUAAGAAAUCUGGAACCUAAUCUUCUCCAAACAUGAAUCGAAUACCCUACCCCUUCAUCCGUAAUUGUGUCUUCCUUCUAUAUUUUCAAAUCUAUGCUUCAUCUUCUAGACUCUCCAUCGAUUGUUGUUAAUAAAAAGAUUGUCAUCAUUUUUUCGUGAACGAAGUUAUGUAAGGUUUCUUCACUCAAACUCUUAUCUUUUCCUUCUGGUUUCGACUUCCUUCUUUUCUUCGUCUCUAAUUUGAUGAGACCUCGUGCUUCUUUUGCUUGAAUAUCUAUCUGAUUUCCAUGGGUUUAAGUAUCACAUGGUUAGAAAUAACAAUCAUGAGUAGGCCAACCCCCCUAAUCUCCUUUGGGUUUAGGUAUCGGAUGGUCAAACUGCCCUUGACGACAACCCGUUAAAACUAUAAUUUAAAGUUCAAAAUCUCCAAUUCUGUUACUAUAUUUUAUCACUUACAGAUAUUGUACUGUUUCUCAUAGGAUUCAAACCAAAAUGAUUUAUUUUGAAGAAAUUUGGAUGCAAUUGUUGGUAAAGCUAAUUUUGGUCUUGAUACAUAAAUGGAAACUUCAUACCUCAUAUCUCAAAAACUAAGUAUUACACUUAUGGAUAUUAUAUACAAUGCCGUUUUCUUUCUUGAUGUCAGAGGGUAUUCGUUUUAUCCCAUCAGAAAUGGAUUGAUAUGUUGAAGUGGUCAUGUGAAAUGUUUUUGUAUUAACAACCUUCUACACAUUUUAGUACAUUUUAUUUGAUAUAAGAUAUUCAUAUAUUUUUACUUUUAGGUUUCCAUGUGAACUGUUCUAAAGCAACUUCGUAUUUAAGCUUAAGCAAGAAAAUUGAUUUUGAUUAUGAUUAAUUAAUGUCUUUUUAUGUAUUAUUCCAUGAAUUGGAGAGAAUUAAUGGGAUGCUCCAUGUUGGCGGUCAAAUGAAACCAUAUCAAGGGUUGCAUUUGUCAAGCAUUUUGAGGGCCACAAGGAAGAAGAUACGAUGGAUGCUCGAAAAUUAAAUGGCAUUUGGGCACAAGAAGGUAUUGAAGCAUGUUUCUUAACUUUUUGAGAAGACUCUUCCAGAAUGAUCUUCAUGUGUAUGGUGACACAAUAUAAAUGACAAAUCAAUAUUACAGUAAUCCAGUUUGUGCCUUUGUUAAGGUGCAAGUAAUAAACAAAUGCAAACUAAAAGACUAUGUUAUUGUAUUGUUGGUAUCAAUGAUUAAGAUGAUGCUACAAAGGACAUUUGAAGAUUUUAUUUAAUUUCUUUUUUAAAUCUCAUGGCCACAUACCUAUGGUGGUAUUGGUAUCUCAUAGAAAAAGUCAAAGCUAAUCAAUCAUAAUGCAAUGGUUAAAUGAAAGUUUGGUA